UCAGGCAGGAAAGUUGAGAAUAG
rnacentral:misc_RNA from 1 species